rnacentral:rRNA from 1 species
GUGCCAGCCGCCGCGGUAAUACGUAGGCAGCGAGCGUUGUUCGGAGUUACUGGGCGUAAAGAGUGCGUAGGCGGUGGCCCAAGUCUGGUGUGAAAUCUCCCGGCUUAACUGGGAGGGUGCGCCGGAAACUGGGUGACUUGAGUACCGGAGAGGCAAGCGGAAUUCCUGGUGUAGCGGUGAAAUGCGUAGAUAUCAGGAGGAACACCCGUGGUGUAGACGGCUUGCUGGACGGUCACUGACGCUGAGGCACGAAAGCGUGGGGAGCAAACAGGAUUAGAAACCCCCGUAGUCC